UCCCCGGCGGGGAAUCGAACCCCGGUCUCCUGCGUGAAAGGCGGGGAUACUGACCACUAUCCUCGUCACGG
rnacentral:tRNA from 13 species